AAGUCGUAACAAGGUCUCCGUUGGUGAACCAGCGGAGGGAUCAUUAAAGAGUUGCAAAACUCCCUAAACCAUUGUGAACAUACCUUCAACGUUGCUUCGGCGGGUUGGCUCCGGGUCUCCCGGGGCCCCCGGCCCUACUCGGGCGCCCGCCGGAGGUAUCUAACUCUUGACAAUUGUAUGGCCUCUCUGAGUCUUUGUACUUAAUAAGUCAAAACUUUCAACAACGGAUCUCUUGGUUCUG
rnacentral:misc_RNA from 1 species